AUACGUAGGUGGCAAGCGUUGUCCGGAAUUAUUGGGCGUAAAGCGCGCGCAGGUGGUUCCUUAAGUCUGAUGUGAAAGCCCACGGCUCCACCGUGGAGGGUCAUUGGAAACUGGGGGACUUGAGUGCAGAAGAGGAAAGUGGAAUUCCAAGUGUAGCGGUGAAAUGCGUAGAGAUUUGGAGGAACACCAGUGGCGAAGGCGACUUUCUGGUCUGUAACUGACGCUGAGGCGCGAAAGCGUGGGGAGCAAACAGGAUUAGAUACCCUGGUAGUCCACGCCGUAAACGAUGAGUGCUAAGUGUUAGGGGGUUUCCGCCCCUUAGUGCUGCAGCUAACGCAUUAAGCACUCCGCCUGGGGAGUACGGUCGCAAGACUGAAACUCAAAUGAAUUGACGGGG
rnacentral:rRNA from 1 species